AGCCUUGUGGACAAAUAAGAUAAGUCGCUGUGCCUCUCAAGCACGGAGGAGCGGGUGCAACUCCCGUCGAGGCUUCCA
rnacentral:tRNA from 7 species